UCCAGCUGUUCCAUUUUGUGACUCAGAAAAAAGCAUGCCAACUCCUGUGCUACAGCAAUGUGCUGUGAACCAGCAACCAACAUAAAGCGCGGUUUUUCCCUUAUCUAUAUCUGCUGGGAAACCCAGGCUUGAGAUAAACACUUCCCACUACGAUACCCACUGAUGCACUCAAAAUGUUUUGCUUUCUAUUUUCACAACUUUGAGCUUUGCCUAUGUAGAACUCUUUAUCUAAGGGAGACAUGCUCUAACCCAGAAAAUCCAAGAAUGGUUCCUCUUAACUGGAAGUUUAUUAACCAGCUGCAGAUGCUGGCAGUAUGAAGAUGGAAUAGAUAAUGAAGGAAGGAUAUUCUAGUUUACGAGACCAGUUGUAGAAAUAAAGAUGUAGUAGCUACCCAUCUACUUUAUUCUAUUUUGUAUGUAUCUAUAUAGGUUAAUCAUUCCCAUUGACUUGUUUUCUCUCCUCAUUUAUAUAAGGUGUAUUUGUAAUUUAGCUAAUGGUAUUGUACUUAUGUUUAUUAAUUUUGAUAAUUAUGCUAUAAUUAUAUAAUACGUUGAUAUUAGGGGAAGCUAUGUGAAGGUAUUGGUACUAUUUUUGCAACUUUUCUGUAAGUGUAACUUUAUUUAUUUAUUUUUGAGAUGGAGUUUUGCUCUGUCUCCCAGGCUGGAGUGCAAUGGUGUGAUCUCGGCUCACUGCAACCUCUGCCUCCCGGGUUCAAGUGAUUCUCCUGCCUCAGCCUCUUGAGUAGCCCGCCACCACACCUGGCUAAUUUUUGUAUUUUUAGUAGAGAUGGGGUUUUGCCAUGUUGGCCAGAUUGGUCUCAAACUCCUGACCUCAGGUGAUCUGCCCGCCUCAGCCUCCCAAAGUGCUAAGAUUACAGGCAUGAGUCACCACACCCAGCCAGUCUAACUUUAUUUCAAAAUAAAAAGUUUACGCUGGGCAUGGUA
rnacentral:lncRNA from 10 species